rnacentral:rRNA from 1 species
UACGUAGGGCGCAAGCGUUAUCCGGAAUUAUUGGGCGUAAAGAGCUCGUAGGCGGUUUGUCGCGUCUGCCGUGAAAGUCCGGGGCUCAACUCCGGGAUCUGCGGUGGGUACGGGCAGACUAGAGUGAUGUAGGGGAGACUGGAAUUCCUGGUGUAGCGGUGAAAUGCGCAGAUAUCAGGAAGAACACCCGUGGCGAAGGCGGCUUUCUGGGACGGUACUGACGCUGAGACGCGAAAGCGUGGGGAGCGAACAGG